rnacentral:rRNA from 1 species
CAGCAGCCGCGGGAAUACGGAGGGAGCUAGCGUUGUUCGGAAUUACUGGGCGUAAAGCGCACGUAGGCGGCUUUGUAAGUUAGAGGUGAAAGCCUGGGGCUCAACUCCAGAAUUGCCUUUAAGACUGCAUCGCUUGAAUCAUGGAGAAGCGGGUGGAAUUCCGAGUGUAGCGGUGAAAUGCGUAGAGAUCGGGAGGAACAUCAGUGGCGAAGGCGGCCAUCUGGGACAACACUGACGCUGAGGCACGAAAGCGUGGGGAGCAAACAGGAUUAGAUACCCGCGUAGUCCCUGUCUCUUAUAA